rnacentral:rRNA from 1 species
AUGCCAUCUUCCUUCGAUCAAGGGCAAAUCGUGCUUUUCCAGUGGCCCAGCCGCAUCAGUCGUGCCCACGUGAGCUACCGGCAGCUUCUUGAAGUAGAAGAGAUGAUGCUGCUAACUUGGUGGACAUGGGCAGGAAAGGCGACCAGAACGAGCAUGAGUACAUGCCCUCAUUGUAAGGUCAUUAUCUGUUCAGCCGCGUCUACUCCUCCACCGCUCCCUGCCCGCGGCCCGCCCCGCAAGAAGCCCCGCAGCUCUGCGUCCGCCGCCGCGGGCGGCAAGCCUCCCGUGAUCGUCUACUACUGCCGUCGCCGCAAGAAGUCGCGGCUCGAGGAGCCACGGCCGUCCUCGCUGGCGUCGCGGCAGCUGGAGGAGGAGGCGCUGGGCAGGGGCUCGUGGCGGAAGCGCCCGCUCACGAGCUGCUCAGCCUGGGCCGAGGCGCAGAGGGGGAGUGCAGAAGGAGAGCGCCGCUUCGAUCCAUCCUUCCCUGCCCUGAAGAUCCAGUCUCAGCUAAUGGCUGCGCUGCUCCCGCCCCACGACGAAGUCUGCGUCAAAAUUGAAGAAGACGGCUUGGGGGCCAUAGUCCCUGUGGAUUUGUUCAUCAAUUCGUUCCCAUUGGUGGAAGUUGACGGGUUCGAGGUGGCGCCCUGGUCAACAGGAAACGCGCACAACGCCACCAUAGCCGAGUUAUUCGUUUUUAUAUUUGCCUACAAGAUGUUCCAUGAAAAUCACAGAAGCACCGGCUGCACCGCACCGGGUUUAGGCUCGUCAAGAAGGUGGCUGGAAGAUAGUGUGUGCAAGGUUUUCUGGCCCAAAGAUGAUGAUUGGUACAAGGGUUCCAUCACGGCCUACACGGAACUAACCAAGAAUUCUGGAUACGAUGAGCUACUUGCACUUGCUGUCAGCUUUCAUGACUACCAAGGUCUUGAUCCAGAUAAUAUAGUGUGGGCUAAAAUAACAGGUCAUGCAAUGUGGCCAGUUGUUAUAGUGGACGAGUCAAAUGUUCAUGCUAGCCGGGCCCUGAAGUCAAUUCGGUUUGAUCAAUCAAUACUUGUUCAAUUCUUUGGCACCCAUGAUUUUGCAAGGUUUCUCCUCACACAAAAGCUUCCAGAAAAUAUGUUGCAACUUCGGAAAUCCAUUGAAAAUGAUGGUUCUGAUGAUAAUGGCCAAGAUGACACGAUAGGCUCUUGUAAUAAUUUAUCAGAAGAAAAUGGAGAGGAUGCUGAAAUGACUCAGAUAGAACUAGGAAAUCUUCGUGUGAGCAACCUAGUGUAUAACAAACCUGAUUGUGCGAGUUUCUUUCCUGGCAGGAUAGUAUCUGAUUCAGACCAUUUCCAUAACAAAAUGCACAUAUGGCCUGAAGGGUAUACUGCUUUCAGGAAGUUCGCAUCGGUAAAAGUUUACUCUCAUGAGUGGGUUUGUGCUGCUGUUACUGCAGUCCCUUGUCCCGAUGGAAGACUUGGCUUCUUCACUGAAGCUGGGGAAUUUCGGGCUUUGUUUGAUGGCGUUGCUCCUCUUCCGAGGAAGAUACAUUUAGAGGAGACUCGGGAAGACAUGAAAGCUGCGGCCAAAUUGCAAUGGUAA